UCAAAAGGUUGUGGGAGGGGUGUUGCUUUGCCUCAUUACUGUUCUUCCAGAGAGAGAGAGAGAGAGAGAGCAGAAAUGCCAUCAUCUGGUUUGAUUACUAUACCAGCUUCUAAAAAUGGAGGUUGGUACAUGCUGAUUGGCAUUCAGAGCAGCAGACGGAAGUGAAAGAGAGUUCUUCCCAGAUUUGGUGGGAUUUUGGCAAGGGAACAUAGAGAUACUUUCUAAUAUCCCCUGCCUUUGCUGUCUGCUGUGGAGUAGAGGAUAAACCUACUAUCAGCUGGUUGGACUCUCAUUCUGACGGCACCCAUUCAAAGCAGAUGACCCAUUGGUGAGCAAGUGAUGUGAUAAUACAUUUCUCCAAGUCUGUUCAGAUGGAGACACAAACCUACAGCUUGGAUUGCCUGAGGUCCUCCCCUUUCCCGAGUUGCGCCGCUGCUUGUCCUGACCCAAUGGAGCCUGCCCUCGCUGCCACGGCCUUGUCUUUGGCUGGGAGGAACAGCUGUCUACACUAACGAGGCCAUCGUCAUCAUGAUGAACAAAACGACACGGUGGCAUACGAGUGAGCAAGACCGCCACUUGGACUCCACGAGGCCCCGGGACACGUAAACAAUGUCUUAAUGAGAAUGUGUGCCAUUACAGUAAUUAACACAGCUCAACGUCAAGCCACUGUCAGAUCUCCAGACUUUCAGGAAGGUUUUGCAUUACACAGAAGCAGACAGAGUUGAACCUCCACCGAGAGGCCUUUUUUGAACUGUGUCCUGUAGAUUCACAGUAUGGACAAUAAAUGUUUUCUCAUGAAA